rnacentral:rRNA from 2 species
AGAGUUUGAUCCUGGCUCAGGAUGAACGCUAGCGACAGGCCUAACACAUGCAAGUCGAGGGGCAGCGGGGAGGUAGCAAUACCUUUGCCGGCGACCGGCGCACGGGUGAGUAACACGUAUGCAAUCCACCUGUAACAGGGGGAUAACCCGGAGAAAUCCGGACUAAUACCCCAUAAUAUGGGCGCUCCGCAUGGAGAGUUCAUUAAAGAGAGCAAUUUUGGUUACAGACGAGCAUGCGCUCCAUUAGCCAGUUGGCGGGGUAACGGCCCACCAAAGCGACGAUGGAUAGGGGUUCUGAGAGGAAGGUCCCCCACAUUGGAACUGAGACACGGUCCAAACUCCUACGGGAGGCAGCAGUGAGGAAUAUUGGUCAAUGGUCGGCAGACUGAACCAGCCAAGUCGCGUGAGGGAAGACGGCCCUACGGGUUGUAAACCUCUUUUGUCGGAGAGUAAAGUACGCUACGUGUAGCGUAUUGCAAGUAUCCGAAGAAAAAGCAUCGGCUAACUCCGUGCCAGCAGCCGCGGUAAUACGGAGGAUGCGAGCGUUAUCCGGAUUUAUUGGGUUUAAAGGGUGCGUAGGCGGCACGCCAAGUCAGCGGUGAAAUUUCCGGGCUCAACCCGGAGUGUGCCGUUGAAACUGGCGAGCUAGAGUGCACAAGAGGCAGGCGGAAUGCGUGGUGUAGCGGUGAAAUGCAUAGAUAUCACGCAGAACCCCGAUUGCGAAGGCAGCCUGCUAGGGUGAAACAGACGCUGAGGCACGAAAGCGUGGGUAUCGAACAGGAUUAGAUACCCUGGUAGUCCACGCAGUAAACGAUGAAUACUAACUGUUUGCGAUACAAUGUAAGCGGUACAGCGAAAGCGUUAAGUAUUCCACCUGGGGAGUACGCCGGCAACGGUGAAACUCAAAGGAAUUGACGGGGGCCCGCACAAGCGGAGGAACAUGUGGUUUAA